rnacentral:rRNA from 1 species
GACGAACGCUGGCGGCGUGCUUAACACAUGCAAGUCGAACGGAAAGGCCCUGCUUUUGUGGGGUGCUCGAUUGGCGAACGGGUGAGUAACACGUGAGUAACCUGCCCUUGACUUUGGGAUAACUUCAGGAAACUGGGGCUAAUACCGGAUAGGAGCUCCUGCUGCAUGGUGGGGGUUGGAAAGUUUCGGCGGUUGGGGAUGGACUCGCGGCUUAUCAGCUUGUUGGUGGGGUAGUGGCUUACCAAGGCUUUGACGGGUAGCCGGCCUGAGAGGGUGACCGGCCACAUUGGGACUGAGAUACGGCCCAGACUCCUACGGGAGGCAGCAGUGGGGAAUAUUGCACAAUGGGCGGAAGCCUGAUGCAGCAACGCUGCGUGCGGGAUGACGGCCUUCGGGUUGUAAACCGCUUUCGCCUGUGACGAAGCGUGAGUGACGGUAAUGGGUAAAGAAGCACCGGCUAACUACGUG